rnacentral:misc_RNA from 1 species
UUAACUAUUAUAUAGUACUCAGACGUCACUGAUAAAAGAAUUUGGGUCCUCUGGCGGGCGCGAUCAGCCGGGGCCGACGCCUAAAAGGACGGCCCGCCAAAGCAACAAAGGUAAAUAAACACAGGGUGUAUGAUAUCUCCCUUUCCGAUCCGUUGCGUUUUACGGCAAAGGACCGGUCCGGUUACAUUAAUGAUCCUUCCGCAGGUUCACCUACGGAAA